AAAGAAAUAGCUCAGUGGUAGAGCGCAUGCUUAGCAUGCAUGAGGUCCUGGCUUCAAUGCCUGUUACGUCC
rnacentral:tRNA from 1 species